AUUGGAAGUCGAGCAACCUUGAAAUGAUAUGCUUGUUUGGAUUGACCCCUUGAGAGAUGCUAGUUGCCUUCGUUCAAGCUCUGCCGGGAGGAAAAUUGGAAUCAGUGAAAGCAGGAUGCACGGAUGUCAGAUGCAUUGUAUUGAUUCAGGCGAACAUGCAUGCAUGCCAUGCCACCCUUGCUCUUGCCUGCCUGCCCUAUCUAUGUAUGCAUAGUGGUGUGGAGUAAAAUUUGCACAAGGUACACUGGAUGCAGGAACAGUUCCUUGUUGCUAUUCAGUACUAACACUAGUAAUCAUGGAAAGAUGCUGAUGCAUGCAUGGUCAAAGACUCUCAUUUUCUCACUGGGUGCAUGCCAAAAUUUGAUUGUAACCUUGUAGUGUCAGAUUGGAAGUUCUUAUGCUCUCUGAAAAUGGGGAUGGUAGAUGGUGAGAAUUACAAGGGAGGAAGAGUAAGGGGCUCAGCUGGUUAAAAGAAGAUGGCCUGAAAACAAGUAAUAUAGGACUAGUUCAUUUGUAUAUUUGUUUAUCCUUGUUGGAAGCUUCUAACAUACUGGUCAGGGUUGAGACA